UACGGAGGGUGCAAGCGUUAUCCGGAUUCACUGGGUUUAAAGGGUGCGUAGGCGGGUUGGUAAGUCCGUGGUGAAAUCUCCAAGCUUAACUUGGAAACUGCCGUGGAUACUAUCAAUCUUGAAUAUAGUGGAGGUGAGCGGAAUAUGUCAUGUAGCGGUGAAAUGCUUAGAUAUGACAUAGAACACCCAUUGCGAAGGCAGCUCGCUACACUAUUAUUGACGCUGAGGCACGAAAGCGUGGGGAUCAAACAGGAUUAGAUACCCUGGUAGUCCACGCCCUAAACGAUGAUUACUCGACAUCAGCGAUACACUGUUGGUGUCUGAGCGAAAGCAUUAAGUAAUCCACCUGGGAAGUACGACCGCAAGGUUGAA
rnacentral:rRNA from 1 species